rnacentral:misc_RNA from 1 species
GAAAUGCGAUAAGCAAUGCGAAUUGCAGAAUUCCGCGAGUCAUCAGAUCUUUGAACGCAGCCCGCGCUUUGGAGCUCUCUCCUUAGCAUGUUUGUUUCAGUGUGUUUGGUUGACUUCAAACAGCUCAAUGCGAUUGAACUCUCCUCUUUACUGAGAAGGGAUCUCUCGUGAAAAGCGAAGGCGUGGGACUCAGCCCGCCAACGAUGUGGUCACUGUCUAACAGUGGUUUCGUUGGGUAACAUCGGUCUAGUCAAUUUAAUAAAUACGCUUUAAAACUUAAAACAACCUUCAAUCUGCACCUGAAAUCAAGCAAGAACACCCGCUGAACUUAA